rfam:Homo sapiens chromosome 11, GRCh38 reference primary assembly.
GCCAGGUGUGGUGGCCUGCACCUGUAGUCCAGCUAUUUGGGAGGCUGAGGCAGGAGUAUCACUUGAGCCUGGGAGGUCAAGGCUGCAGUGAGCUGUGAUCACACCACUGCACUCCUGCACUCUAGCCUGGGCAACAGAGUGAGAUCCUGUCUCAA